AAGUGAGAUUUUGGUGAGUGUGAGAUGAGAAAGUGGGGAAAUUCUCUCUAGAAAGCCUUUGAAAGUGAAAGAGGAGUGUUAUGGCUUAGGGAGACCGCUUAGGCGAACUACAAAGAAGAAGUUUGGAAGUGAAAACCUCAAAAACCGCUCAACUUUAAGAAAGCUCGAGCCCAAAACACACCACAACCGCUCAGCGGUCAAAUGGACCGCUCAACGGUUUUGCGAUAAAUUUAUCUUCUUCUUCUUUGCUUGCUUUAGAGAAAUCUCACCCUGUAACACUCAAUUCCAACCUUCAAAUUUUCACUCAUAUGUCUUUCCCCUCUUAGAUGCAACAUUCAAACAUGCAAUGCACUUAAAACAGAGUUAAAAACAGAUAUAAUCAACUCGGUUGCCUCCCAGGUAGCGCUUG
rnacentral:lncRNA from 1 species